AUGAGUCAAUGUUUAGCUCAGGGAGACAAAAGGCCCUUUGAUAAGACCCUGGCCUCGGCAGACGCCUCCGCUCUGCGAGUGAGCUUGGAUUGCAUUCAGGAAGAGGGGGAGCAGGAAGCCGCGGUUAGUGAGCACCCCCCCCCACCCCCCUUGUCCUUUCAGAGGCCGUGGCUGUGGUAUAGACCCUGCAGUUUGGACCCUGGCCUGGCAAUCACGCUUCUAGUCGCCUCGUCUGAUAAGGCCCUCCUCACACCCAGGAAUUCUGGGCUUGUUCCGACAGAGAUGGGAGCGGGGCCAGGUAGCCACGUGGAGGGAGCUGGGACUUGCCUCCACUGCGGGGGUGGGGGUGGGGGGAAGGGCCACAGCUCGAUGAUGCUGGAGUCCUGUGUCCCUGAGCUUGCAUUUCUAGAGAGCCACCUCCUCUGUGAUGUGCCGGUUCCCUGCAGGAUUUCAAGAAGGCAGGCUGACUGGCCCCAUCUUGCAGGUCCGUGCAUGAAGGGAGGGCACGUGAAUUGCCUGAGGAGGACGGAGUUUGAUGGGGAGGAGAGAAGAAGCAAGCAGUCAACAGAUUGAGCUGGGCACCAUGCAUAGCCAUGCCGACCCAGAUGCAAGGUGGGAGAGCCUGGUGCUGCGCACACGAGGGAUGGCCCCUCUGAAGGCGGAGGGGGUCCGAGGUUCUUGGAUGUCCUUCAGCGUUCUCUCGUCCAGGCCCCAACCCUCUGGGCUGCUCCCCGUCCCCGCCGUUGAACAAAGCAUCUUCCUAACACUCAGAGGUACAAGAAGACCCGGGAGACCGAAGACGCCCGGCCACCACAUGUCAGCAGUCCAGUCUCCUCACUUGACUCCUGCACUGGUCUGAUAGAAUGGCCACCACACCCCCAUGCCAGGCUUCUGACGCCCCCCUGUCCUCCAGGGGUCCCAAGCCAGAUGGAGACCAUCCGCAUAUCCCCCGUGGUCUAGCUGAGCCACGGCUGGAAUUAUUUCCCAAGAAUUUGAUAGGAAAGUGUAAGAAAGGCAGAACUCUUCAAUAAGAGAAUACAAGAGCCAUCAGAGCUCAACUCCCUUAUUUGAGUCCAGCCACAGACUAAUGUGGCCGGCAGGAGUUCUAGUUCUGCGGCUUUAUUGCAGAACAUGAGGGGACUGGGUUCUGUUCUCUGUUCGCCCGACUCCCGGCAUGCCCGGCCUCUUACAGGUGUUGGAUGAAUAAAUGAACGGAUUGCCAGCA
rnacentral:lncRNA from 1 species